rnacentral:rRNA from 1 species
GAUCCUGGCUCAGGACGAACGCUGGCGGCGUGCCUAACACAUGCAAGUCGAACGGAAGCAAAGAUUUCGGUUUUUGCUUUAGUGGCGAACGGGUGAGUAACGCGUGAGGAACCUGCCUUUCAGUGGGGGACAACAGUUGGAAACGACUGCUAAUACCGCAUAAUGCUUUUGGAUCGCAUGAUUUAAAAGCCAAAGAUUUAUUGCUGAAAGAUGGCCUCGCGUCUGAUUAGCUGGUUGGUGGGGUAACAG